GACGAACGCUGGCGGCGUGCCUAAUACAUGCAAGUCGAACGCAGUGGGGACGGGUGAGUAACACGUGGGUAACCUCCCAUCAGAGGGGAUAACCCUUGGAAACAGGUGCUAAACCGAUACGGAUUGAUGGACCCGCGGGGCAUUAGCUAGUUGGUGAGGUAAAGGCUCACCAAGGCCACGAUGCAUAGCCGAGCUGAGAGGGGGAUCGGCCACACUGGGACUGAGACACGGACCAGACUCCUACGGGAGGCAGCAGUAGGGAAUCGUCGGCAAUGGACGCAAGUCUGAUCGAGCAACGCCGCGUGAGUGAAGAAGGUUUUCGGAUCGUAAAGCUCUGUUGUUAGAGAAGCGGUAUCUAACCAGAAAGCCACGGCUAACUACGUGCCAGCAGCCGCGGUAAUUC
rnacentral:rRNA from 1 species